AAAAAUUCUUUUGGUAAAAGGAACCAUCCAUCCAACACGUAACCUCAAUAGAAACGUUGAUCUGCUAUAUCCUGAUCAUAUACUACAGUCUAGCUUUUUAACAGCUUUAUCAACAAAGGUUGGUACCGUAGUGCUAGAAUGAUGCGUCAUACUAACUAAUGCUAUUACAUGUAUGUGAGCCAGCGACUACCACGUUGCAUAUUAAAGAUUGCAAAACGUUUUUCGAGUCUUAAAAUUGGCCAAAACGCAUACCGUACUCUACCGAGAUUACGCCCACGUCCGAAAUUACGCCCACCCCCACUUUUGAGUGAAAGUUCCUGCAUAGGCUAAUUUGCCUCGAAAAUACGCCUACCAGGAAGUGAUGCAUUUGUCAGUGAGCAAGUUGUCAAGAAAAGGUUUAGCAGUUUAUUGUGUGCCCUGGUUAGCUCUGAAUAAAUUAUAGCUAGAUCCUAUUAGCAAGUAUAAGAGACAAGGACAAUCUUCUCUGAAUCUCUGUUAAAGACUCUGACAGUGACAAGGAACAACCUUCUGAUGCAGAAUCUUAACUCUUUAUACCUUAGCUACUUUACCCACGCAUUUACCGUUGUUGUAUGUUGAUGUAUUCAUUGUAUUUCAAGAGCUGGCAGGCCUCAGACGCAGACAGAGAACAAUAGUUUCUUAAUGAGUGGGCUUAAUUUCGAGGCAAACACCUGGGUGGGCUUAAUUUCGAGACAAAACUACUGUUUUCGAAAUUAAGCCCAUCCCACCUGUAGCUGCUUUGUAGCAUGCAAUUAGGGUGGGCGUAAUCUCGGUAGAGUACGGUAAUAUAAUUGUCCCUAUACAAAAUGUGAGAGGUAUUUAAAUUGAAACUGAUUUUGUAGAUGUAAUAAUACUAUAAUAGUAUAUUCAUUUAUGCUAUAUAUUGAGAGAUGCUUAAGUACAUGUAAACACUGUAUGUAAACACAGUGCCAGAUCCAGGUGGUUUCAAGUGAAACCCCCUUUUUGGGUCAUGUGAGAGAUCUGAUCAGCAACUUACAUGUAUAGUCAACUACAUAAACAGUUUAGCUGCUACGUAUUAAAACGCUAAGUUAGCCAAAAAUAUUAUUUCAAUAUUAUUUUAUACACAUGCAGUCAACAAUUUCCUUAGCCAAGAUUCUUGUCACUGUGCGUGGGCGUAACAUUGACCUGAAUCUGUCACUUUAAACAACAGGAAAUGACAUUAUAGUUGCUCUAUAUAGCAUGUUGGAAUCUGCAUAGUGCAGCACCCAGUUAGUUUGCAUUCCAAACAAAACUAGCUGAGAGUUUUUUUGUGCAAUGGCUGAAGAAGAAAACAUUAUGAGGCCUGAGGAGCAAAAUGGUCAUCAGCAGUUGAUUGAGAAGAACGUUGAGAAAAAACUGCAUGAAUUUCAAUUACAACAAGAAGAAAAACAACAGUAUUAUUGGUUCUGGUUUGUGGGCCUUUUUGUAGUCAUAAUGGUUGCAGUUGGUGUUGGAAUGGCUUACAAUCGCGGCUAUUUGAAUAUUUCGUCGCCUACUGAAGUACUACUGCAGAAAGCAUUGAACGAAACAAAGGUAAAACUUGCCCAGUUUGAGAAGGAACGAGAUCAAGAUAUUAAGGAUUACAAGCAAAAGAUUUCGAAUUUGGAUGAAAUGUUGAGCAGUAAGACAGAUAUCAAUGCAAUGAAUGUAGUUUGUAAAAAAUUGAAUGAAGAAAAGACUGUUUUCUUCCAAGAACAGCUCGAUCGAUGCGAGAAUAAAGCAGGCAAGCUGGAAGCAAGAAAUGAAGAGUUGCUGAAUGAUGUUGUUCAGUGUAAGGCGUUGAUGAAUCAAGUGAAUUCUCAGCUUGCUUCACAGGAUUCAAGCUGGGCUAGCGGACUUAUCGAUAACAUUGCUAGCACUCUCAAGAGUUUCACCGCUUAGAGAUCGGUGUACAUGAACUAUAUGUAAAUAACCCUUUUUUGUAAAAUUAUGUCCCUAUAUAGUCUCUAUACUUUAUACCAACUCUGUUAUGAUCAUGUACAUCGCAUGUGUAUGUAAUAUGAAGUGAUUUACUAAAGAAGCUGCCUGGUGGUAA